rnacentral:siRNA from 1 species
GGAUCAGUUUAGGUUCGGUUGAU